rnacentral:lncRNA from 1 species
UAGUUCCUCGGUUUUCAGAUAAUGGACGAUUUAACAGCCACUAAGUUGAAUUUGCCGUAUGGAAUUUAUGUAUUUGUCUCUGAAUCAAAUUAAAAUUAUUAGCUAAUAGAUACAAUUUUUUUUGUAUUGUUUAUCAUUGUCUCUUCUAUAUGUAGAAAUUGAAAUUUAGCUAACAUGUUGAAACAAUUUUUAACAUCAGGAUGGUAGUCAUGUUAAUAUGACAUUGCAUGGAUCACCGAGAAAUUUUCUGCACAAAUUGUGAUUGAUACUAUAAUGUUCUGCUUAAAAAGUAUCAAUGUUGAGCUCUUCAGUCCAAGCUUAAUGAUCAUAAAAGAAUAGAUGCAUGUAGUUUGUAUGCUUCAUUAUGCCAAAAAUCAUUAGUUUUUCCCCAUAAUUUCUAAGUUCUUUCGGACUAAAUCUUUGACUCAUUGAAGGAAAAGAAGUUCACC